rnacentral:rRNA from 1 species
AACGAACGCUGGCGGCAGGCCUAACACAUGCAAGUCGAACGCCCGUAGCAAUACGGGAGUGGCAGACGGGUGAGUAACGCGUGGGAACGUGCCCUUCGGUUCGGAAUAACUCAGGGAAACUUGAGCUAAUACCGGAUACGUCCGUAAGGAGAAAGAUUUAUCGCCGAAGGAUCGGCCCGCGUCGGAUUAGCUAGUUGGUGAGGUAACGGCCACCAAGGCGACGAUCCGUAGCUGGUCUGAGAGGAUGAUCAGCCACACUGGGACUGAGACACGGCCCAGACUCCUACGGGAGGCAGCAGUGGGGAAGUAUUGGACAAUGGGCGAAAGCCUGAUCCAGCCAUGCCGCGUGAGUGAAGAAGGCCUUAGGGUUGUAAAGCUCUUUCAGCGGGGAAGAUAAUGACGGUACCCGCAG